GCACAGUCAGACUAAGUAACUCUAGCAAUAUCCAAGCAACCAGACACAAGAAAGAGAAGAAAAGUGACACUUAGCUUCAAAGGAAGAGGUUGUUUUUUGAAGUAUGAGAUGCAAUUUCGAAAAGAUGUUCCAGGAACAAAUGUUGCAUCUGUGACAUGCAACUAGCACUAUAACUUAACAGGAUUUCCAGGAUUUAUGAAGAAAACAGCUUUACUUGUUAUGUCUCAAUUUGGAGCCAGACUGCUGUUGGCUUUCCUCUGAAGACUUUGAGUCAGAAAAGGAGGGGACAGAAAGUAUUUGCUACAGCCUCCGUCCAAGAGAAGCUGUGUGAAAAUCCCAUCGCCUCUCAUUUCUGGCAUGAACCUUAGGAGACAGCAAGAAACAGCAGAGCCAUUGGGACCCAGGGGUGCUCAAUAACAGCCACUUCAGAUGCAAUGAAGAAUAUCCCUGCCCAGUGUCAAUGAGCUGCCACUCCGAAAAACAGCUCACUAAAAGCACCUGCUUUCGAUUCUGAAACCCUUGUGGCCCACCACCCUUGAUUUAAGGACAUGCUGUGCUCAGCCUUUCUCUGCGCUGUCUGUGCUACCAAAAUUGGUUUUGCCUGUUUUCUUUCAGUGGAAAAGAUCCACCAUCCACUGCCCAUCACUUCCCCUCAUCUUUCUCCCUGCAGCAGCACAGGGAAUAGGGAAGUGCAGCAGCCACUGCAGGUGUUCAUCCACUGAGAUGCUCUAGACAAUGUUACUGUCUGUAACUCAGACCCUGCCCCUCGUGGUUUGCUUUAUGCAUAGGCAAAAAUAGAAAACAGUGUAGGAUGGCUAAAUAGCAACACUGAUAGACAUCCAUGCUGCUGUCUGUACUGAUUGUGAUAAAUGCCGGGUUACUUUUAAUUUUCUUUGGCUACUGGGUUGGAGGUAAGAAGGCACCAGAGGUCCAACAAGCUUUUACUACAAGGGCAAGACAGCACUGCAUGAACCACAGUCCCACUGGUUCUUCCCUCUCUCCAUUGCUCAAGACUCACCAACUGCAGGAACACGACCAGCUGGUCAUUACCAGGGAGGAGUUGGGAUCUUUAACAAAGUGUUAUGUCUCAGGUCUAAGGACAAAAGAGGUUAUAAAUUAUCUGCUUUAGACACCUGCGAAUUCCACAUUGCAGUUCAUCAUUUCAUGGUCUAUCUGUGGUUUCUUGUUGGUUUUCUUCCACUUCUUCCUACUGACCAGAACCACAGCCUUCUUCCUGACUGUUUUUGCAAAUGUGAAUUCAAUUUAUUGAGCAAAUAACUGCAGAUUUCACCUUGCUAGAUCACCCUCCUCUGCUUAUACUACCUGAGUCCAAAAGAUGCAGGGCCUCCUCCAGCUGACUGACGUGGCUGAUUUCCAUCUCAGACCUGGGACCAGCUGGUCUCUCAUGCCCUCAAUAUUGUUCUCCUCAAACACACAUGAAGGAAGUAGGAAAAAAGCAAAACUCAAACAGGUUUCAUAAGAGCACUGCUAUUAAUAAUAUCUCAUAGCGAUUUAUCAUUACCAGAACUUUCCAUGCAUAAUUUCUGUCAUAUAUUCCUUGUGCUUUCAUGGCACUCAAGAGUUUCAGUCACCAAAAGCAGAACUCAGCUGCUGCUGGAGUGAGUGUGCGUGGGCCGGGAGCCUUUCCCCUUGGAGGCAGGCUGGUGCCUGUUCAUAGUCCUCCACACCCUUCCCUAAUCCCCACCAGUCUCAUCCCCAGAUCUGCCCCGAGUGAAUCAAACACCAUGCCAGAGCAGUGCUAACAACCAGUUUCAAAUUUGCCCUUUGAAUGAAUAACAUUGUCAGAAAACCACUUUUCAUUUUCUCAGUAAAUGAGCUGAAAGGUUCUCCAAGUGAUCAGCAUGUUUAGUCUGACCCCAGCUGAAAAGCUGCGCGUUACAGAGCUGGGGGAGGUACUGUAAAAGUCAGACAAAAUUUGAAAGAAGCUUUUUAGAAUACUUUUCCAGUUCAGAAACUGUCAAAACUAAAUGCUUUAAAUUUUCAUCUAAAAACUAUUUGGGGAGAGACUAUUCAGUAGAUUCAGCAAAAGCUUCAGCAGUUGCUCUGGGCAACCCAACACAACAUGUUUGGCUGAAGACGAGUUUUGACAGGAGGAUUUCACCCUGUCAGAGGCUCUUCUCUUUUUACCAUGCAGCUGACCUCCCUCUAAGUGGAAAGUCCUUCAGCAUUUGUGAAAAAAAGAAACACAGGCAAUAUCUACAUUAUUUGCUGUUCCUCAGGAAUGAUUAUCUGUCUUUGGUCUGAUUCAUGUUUAUGAUAUAGUCUGGGUUCAUAACACUGUUUAACAGCAGAAGGAAUAUGAACAACAGGACAGACUCAAAGAGCUCUGCUGCUCUGACCUUCUCCCUGUGCAUUGGAAAUAAUUGACUAGAAGAGGAAUAAAUGUCUGCAACAAAUGGCCAGAUUUAGAAACAGCUACUGAGCACCAGAUCUUCCACAAACUGAAACUUUCAGGGGCCCAAAGGGACCACCGGUAGCAAUGCUCAGCUGUUUCUUUUAGCUUGCCAUCUCGUCACCUCCAUGGCCAACGUCCUCCAACAGCUGGGUGAGUUUAUGAGCUGCAACAGAGAAAGGUAGAAAGCAUAAAGCCAGGAGGCUGAAUAAAAAACAAUUCAAGUCUUCUCAAUAUAAGCAAACAAGGUUAACAAUUAAAGUAGGCAUGGAGGCUCAUUUUUACUGAAUAAGAGAUAUUUCAGGCCAUUCCUCUUCACCAGAAGCCAUCAGGUAACUCCUGCCUGCUAAUAUCAGUGCACACUGGGCACUCUUUGGAGAGAUUGUGCUGGAUGUAUCUGUGUAUGCCCAGGUUACUCGUGGUGAUGGUCAAGACCAGCUGGGUCUGUUUGCUAUGUGGCUGUAAUCACCAUCUUGUAAAUAGUAGCAGACAAAAUACAAUCAGUGACAGGUAAAACCAUCUAAAUAAAUGUUGAAUUUGCACAACUGUCUGUUUAGGCAUUAGGAAAUACAGCAGUUAAUGUAGCACUGACAAAUAUGUCUCAAGACCCCUGUGCAAAUAUUCUGUGGUACUAUCUUUACAUUUGCUUUUGGGGAGGCACCUUGUUUUUAUUUUGAAAUAAAUGCUGGAUAUUGCUUAACUCAAGUAUAUGAAUAUCUGUGGUUGGAAGUGAGACUGAGUUCUCAGAGUGGGGGGCUUCCAGCUUGUAUCUGUACACCUUAGAGUCACAACUUGUCAGCUGGAAAAACAGAAGUCAUGGGUUGUCCAGGCAGCUGAUAACCUGGCAGAGGGAUAUACAGAUGGCAGGAUGAGCUGAACAGAAAUGCAAGAAGCAUUUUUCCUCAGGCCUAGGAAGGGACCUAGACAAAAGCAUCCCCUUUACUAGAGGGGGGAAAAUUCCUUCUAUCCCACAACAGGACCAGAGAAAAUACAGGAAAGCAACAUCAUGUUGGUACUAAACCCUCCCUCCUGGCCUCCCUCACCUGCAGCAAAGUGUGAGCUCAGAAACUCUGGUGCGUCUGUAAUGCUCUUUGGCUUCAUGGAUCCUUCACUGCUACAAUCCCUCCUGCUCAGUAGCUCCGGUGCAGCUGAUCACCACAAAGAUACAGACCAGCCUGAUAACACAUAUGGUGUAAGUCAAACAACAAUAAUUCCUGAAAAAUGUUCCUCUCCCCGUCAGUAUUUCCAUUAUUUUUGCAGUGUUAGUGUUGGGUAAGAGAUCUGCCACACUGAUCGGAACACCAAAAGCCUUUUUCUUUAAUUUGCCAGAGAGCUGAGGAAAAGGAGAUAGACACGAGUUCAUGUUAUCUCAUUAAGAUGCUAAAUUAUUCAUAAAAUGUCCUCAUAAAAUUAAAUAUGGGAAAUGUCAUGUUCACAGAUAAGUGGCUGCGGCUGCUACAGAUGUGAAAGAUGUUUAUGAAGCAGAUGCUUUCUCUAGUGACCUUCGGCAUUCACAAAAGCUGAGCAGCAGAUCAGUAACUAUACAAAGCAGAAAACACAUGAGAAAAUCACUGGUGAAGCCAAAGGUUUUGAUCCCACAGACAAGGCAAUAAUUUUUGUCAGCAACAUUUUUCUCGGUUGUAGGAAG